rnacentral:rRNA from 1 species
AUAACUCCAAGAAAUUGGGGCUAAUACCGGAUAUGACCGCUGACCGCAUGGUCUGGUGGUGGAAAGAUUUAUCGGCUGGGGAUGGGCCCGCGGCCUAUCAGCUUGUUGGUGGGGUAGUGGCCUACCAAGGCGACGACGGGUAGCCGGCCUGAGAGGGUGACCGGCCACACUGGGACUGAGACACGGCCCAGACUCCUACGGGAGGCAGCAGUGGGGAAUAUUGCGCAACGGGCGGAAGCCUGACGCAGCGACGCCGCGUGGGGGAUGACGGCCUUCGGGUUGUAAACCUCUUUCAGCAGGGACGAAGCGGAAGUGACGGUACCUGCAGAAGAAGCACCGGCCAACUACGUGCCAGCAGCCGCGGUAAUACGUAGGGUGCGAGCGUUGUCCGGAAUUAUUGGGCGUAAAGAGCUUGUAGGCGGUUUGUCGCGUCUGCUGUGAAAAUCCGGGGCUCAACCCCGGACUUGUAGUGGGUACGGGCAGACUAGAGUGUGGUAGGGGAGACUGGAAUUCCUGGUGUAGCGGUGAAAUGCGCAGAUAUCAGGAGGAACACCGAUGGCGAAGGCAGGUCUCUGGGCCACUACUGACGCUGAGAAGCG